rnacentral:rRNA from 1 species
GCCCUUUCGGGGGUACACGAGCGGCGAACGGGUGAGUAACACGUGAGCAACCUACCCUCAACUUCGGGAUAAGCCUCGGAAACGGGGUCUAAUACCGGAUAUCAUCACAGGCUUCAUGGUUUGUGGUUGAAAGUUCUGGCGGUUGGGGAUGGGCUCGCGGCCUAUCAGCUUGUUGGUGGGGUAAUGGCCUACCAAGGCGUCGACGGGUAGCCGGCCUGAGAGGGCGACCGGCCACACUGGGACUGAGACACGGCCCAGACUCCUACGGGAGGCAGCAGUGGGGAAUAUUGCGCAAUGGACGAAAGUCUGACGCAGCAACGCCGCGUGAGGGAUGACGGCCUUCGGGUUGUAAACCUCUUUCAGCAGGGACGAAGCGAGAGUGACGGUACCUGCAGAAGAAGGACCGGCCAACUACGUGCCAGCAGCCGCGGUAAUACGUAGGGUCCGAGCGUUGUCCGGAAUUAUUGGGCGUAAAGGGCUCGUAGGCGGUUCGUCACGUCGGGAGUGAAAACUCGGAGCUUAACUCCGAGCCUGCUUCCGAUACGGGCAGACUAGAGGUAGGCAGGGGAGAGCGGAACUCCUGGUGUAGCGGUGGAAUGCGCAGAUAUCAGGAAGAACACCGGUGGCGAAGGCGGCUCUCUGGGCCUUACCUGACGCUGAGGAGCGAAAGCGUGGGUAGCGAACAGGAUUAGAUACCCUGGUAGUCCACGCCGUAAACGUUGGGCGCUAGGUGUGGGGGA